GAUGAACGCUGGCGGCGUGCUUAACACAUGCAAGUCGAACGGGGGACAAUUUAAAGAAGCUUCGGCAGAUUUAGCUUGUUCCUAGUGGCGGACGGGUGAGUAACGCGUGGGUAACCUGCCUCACACUGGGGGAUAACAGUCAGAAAUGACUGCUAAUACCGCAUAAGCGCACAGAACCGCAUGGUUCAGUGUGAAAAACUCCGGUGGUGUGAGAUGGACCCGCGUUGGAUUAGCCAGUUGGCAGGGUAACGGCCUACCAAAGCGACGAUCCAUAGCCGGCCUGAGAGGGUGGACGGCCACAUUGGGACUGAGACACGGCCCAGACUCCUACGGGAGGCAGCAGUGGGGAAUAUUGCACAAUGGGGGAAACCCUGAUGCAGCGACGCCGCGUGAAGGAAGAAGUAUCUCGGUAUGUAAACUUCUAUCAGCAGGGAAGAAAAUGACGGUACCKACWAGAGCCCGMYYA
rnacentral:rRNA from 1 species